rnacentral:rRNA from 1 species
CACGUAGGGUGCGAGCGUUAAUCGGAAUUACUGGGCGUAAAGCGUGCGCAGGCGGUUUCUGAAGUCCGUUGUGAAAGCCCCGGGCUUAACCUGGGAAUGGCAGUGGAAACUAGGAGACUUGAAUCUGGCAGAGGGGGGUGGAAUGCCACGUGUAGCAGUGAAAUGCGUAGAGAUGUGGCGGAACACCGAUGGCGAAGGCAGCCCCCUGGGUCAAGAUUGACGCUCAGGCACGAAAGCGUGGGGAGCAAACAGG